GUGUCAGCAGCCGCGGUAAUACGGAGGAUCCAAGCGUUAUCCGGAUUUACUGGGUUUAAAGGGUGCGUAGGUGGAAUGUCAAGUCAGUGGUGAAAACCUAUAGCUUAACUAUAGAACUGCCAUUGAUACUGUCAUUCUUGAGUGUAUUUGAUGUAAGUGGAAUGUGUCGUGUAGCGGUGAAAUGCUUAGAUAUGACACAGAACACCCAUUGCGAAGGCAGCUUACAAAACUACAACUGACACUGAGGCACGAAAGCGUGGGGAUCAAACAGGAUUAGAUACCCUGGUAGUCC
rnacentral:rRNA from 1 species